rnacentral:rRNA from 4 species
GGUGGGACAGAUGAUUGGGGUGAAGUCGUAACAAGGUAGCCGUAUCGGAAGGUGCGGCUGGAUCACCUCCUUUCUAAGGA